CGUAUUCAUUCACAUGUUCAUCUGCUCAGGCAUUCAUUGAAUAUUUAUUGUCUAAAUUAUGUACAGUGUAGACACAGAUGCCAAAGGAAGAAGAGUUUGGCUGUCACCAUCACUGUGGCUUGUGUGACAGGCCCUGAAGUGGAGAGUUGCUGCAGGGGCUGCUGUGGGAUUGGUAAACCCAGGUUGGAGAGGACCAGAAUCGCCCCUGGAGGAAACAAGCACCUUCAGUCCUCCAAGUGCUAUUGGGUCCCAGUGACUUGCAGAACAACACACGCCCACUGAGCCAGGCAUUAUAUUGGACUUGAGAAACUCCUGAGUCUCUGGAAUGAUUUACUGAGUGUUGAAAUUUCUAGAACUCCCAAGCCUGUUCAGGAUGAGAUCUGGAGGGAGUAAGAGCUAUAUGAAUCAAACAGCACAACUCCUGGAGCCCUAUCGAGAGAUACCUCCUGAAUUCCUGAGUUUAUUUUAGCAUAUUCUAAAUCAUUUAGGGAGCCCAAGUCCAUGAGAUGCCUCAGCAAAUAAGGGCAUUUGCCAACAAACCUG
rnacentral:lncRNA from 1 species